rnacentral:rRNA from 1 species
UACAGAGGGUGCAAGCGUUAAUCGGAAUUAUUGGGCGUAAAGGGCUUGUAGGUGGUUCUAUAAGUUAGAUGUGAAAACCCUGGGCUUAACCUGGGACGUGCAUUUAAUACUGUAGAGCUAGAGUAUAGUAGAGGAGUGGGGAAUUCCUGGUGUAGCAGUGAAAUGCGUAGAGAUCAGGAGGAACAUCUGUGGCGAAGGCGCCACUCUGGACUAAUACUGACACUGAGGAGCGAAGGCGUGGGGAUCAAACAGG